rnacentral:rRNA from 1 species
UACGAAGGGGGGCUAGCGUUGUUCGGAAUUACUGGGCGUAAAGCGCACGUAGGCGGGCGAUUAAGUCAGGGGUGAAAUCCCGGAGCUCAACUCCGGAACUGCCUUUGAUACUGGUCGUCUAGAGAUCGGAAGAGGUGAGUGGAAUUCCCAGUGUAGAGGUGAAAUUCGUAGAUAUUGGGAAGAACACCAGUGGCGAAGGCGGCUCACUGGUCCGAUACUGACGCUGGAGGUGCGAAAGCGUGGGGAGCAAACAGG